rnacentral:tRNA from 1 species
CAGAAGAUAAUUUAUUUUAAAAUAUAGACUUUGGAAGUUUAAUAUGAUAUAGUAUCUCUUCUGA